rnacentral:rRNA from 2 species
CCAAGGAGUCUAGCGUGUGCGCGAGUCAUUGGGUGUAAAACCUAAAGGCGCAAUGAAAGUGUCAGGGGUGCCUCCUUUAGGAGCGCUCCCCGUCGGGAGGAUGGGCCGCCGUACGUGUACUCGUCGGAGCCCCGCACUCCCGGGGCGUCUCGUUCUCAUCACGAGUGGAGACGCACCAGGAGCGCACACGCUGGUACCCGAAAGAUGGUGAACUAUGCCUGGCCAGGACGAAGCCAGGGGAAACCCUGGUGGAGGUCCGAAGCGAUUCUGACGUGCAAAUCGAUCGUCUGAGCUGGGUAUAGGGGCGAAAGACCAAUCGAACCAUCUAGUAGCUGGUUCCCUCUGAAGUUUCCCUCAGGAUAGCUGGCUCUCGGGAAGAGACGAGUCUCAUCCGGUAGAGCGAAUGAUUAGAGGUGAUGGGGUCGAAACGACUUCAACCUAUUCUCAAACUCCCAAUAGAUGAGAGCCCCGGCUUGCUUAAAAGUGAAGCCGCGGGACUCGGAUCAGAGAUGCCAAGUGGGCCAAUUUU